CUUGGCUCCUCACAUAGCUCAAAUCUAUUCUGUUCUUAUUCAAGCAUAGAAAAGCCCUUCAGUUAUUGAAGACUCUGCUUACAAGAAAACACACACACACACACACACACACACACACACACACACACACACACCAUAGUUUCAAGUCAGAGAAGUUCGUGUACUUAAUUUGUCAAGCACAAAGUAAGCUCUGUGUCCCCAGAAGUGAGAUCAAGGAGACCCAGAACGCCUGCUGGAGACGACGCUGGAUUAGCUAGGAAUUAUCCCUGGCUGAAGUCUUGGGCCUGCCAAGCUUCUCCAUGUCCAGACUAAACAGAUGGGGGUAGCAGGACAAUGUUAGAGGUCAAGCAAGCAUCACUGCCAAGACUGUAAUGGAAAGAACAGGAGCCAAUGAGGUGUCAAGCCUUAACAAUCCAGUGCCAAGGAAGACAUGUGAUGAACGGAGUCUGCAGUCCACCUAACCCAACAAUGGGCAGCUGUGAAUGGGAAUUCCAAGAAUCUAGUAGUUGCUCAGUCCCACCAGGCUAGUUGCUUCAGCUGGUCUCCUAUAGAAGUAGAUUCCAACAGAUGUGCUGGGAAUCAGUGGUUGGAAACAGGGUUUCAGUAGCAACCCAGCCUGACCUCAGGCAGGUCAUCCGGCUGCUUCAACCUCCUGUGUGAACUGUGAGACCAAAGGCCAGCUUUCUGCCACUGUAACAAACAUAAGACAAGCUAACUUAUGAGGAAAGGUUUACCUUGGCUCAUAGGUUCAGAGAUUUUAGUCCAGCAUCAGUUGGCACUGAUGCCUUUGAGACCAUGACCUGACAGGACUUUGUGGUGAUAGACACAUAUGAUGGAGGAAACCCACUUCAUAGAAGUGGGGAAGCAGACAGAGUCAAGAACAGGAAGCUGAGGCAGAAAGGUCAUUUGAGACAGAGGGCAAGGGCCAACCCAGACAACGCUGCUUCUCUAAAAGGGUCUGCAAAUUCCCAACACACCAACAUGUCCUUAUUUUAAACAUCAUCUUAGUGGCAUCCCCUUGUGAAUCACACACGUGCAAUAAGCAACUCAAUUCUCACACUGCUUUGUAAUCUGCUCACUGGAUCCACUCAGUGCAGGGAUUUAAUUGUGAGGUAAGAGGUUAGUAAAGAAAGUAUGAACUCAAUGACUGGAGAGCAUGAGAGAAAGCGAAGACCUGAGCUGUGCAGUCUUUGCUUUGCUGCCCAUGGAACACAUCACUGACAGAUUCGUUUCUGGGCUGAGAAAUCAAGAUCAAGGCGUGAGCAAGUGCCAUGUCCGGAACUAUGUGGUACCUUACCAAUUUAAGGAAGACGUGAUUCCUGACAUCCAAGAGCCCCAGGCCGGCGACAAGAGCAGGAA
rnacentral:lncRNA from 1 species